UCUGGGAUAAGCGCUGGAAACGGCGUCUAAUACCGGAUACGAGCUGCGACCGCAUGGUCAGUAGCUGGAAAGAAUUUCGGUCAGGGAUGAGCUCGCGGCCUAUCAGCUUGUUGGUGAGGUAAUGGCUCACCAAGGCGUCGACGGGUAGCCGGCCUGAGAGGGUGACCGGCCACACUGGGACUGAGACACGGCCCAGACUCCUACGGGAGGCAGCAGUGGGGAAUAUUGCACAAUGGGCGCAAGCCUGAUGCAGCAACGCCGCGUGAGGGAUGACGGCCUUCGGGUUGUAAACCUCUUUUAGCAGGGAAGAAGCGAAAGUGACGGUACCUGCAGAAAAAGCGCCGGCUAACUACGUGCCAGCAGCCGCGGUAAUACGUAGGGCGCAAGCGUUAUCCGGAAUUAUUGGGCGUAAAGAGCUCGUAGGCGGUCUGUCGCGUCUGCUGUGAAAACCCGAGGCUCAACCUCGGGCCUGCAGUGGGUACGGGCAGACUAGAGUGCGGUAGGGGAGAUUGGAAUUCCUGGUGUAGCGGUGGAAUGCGCAGAUAUCAGGAGGAACACCGAUGGCGAAGGCAGAUCUCUGGGCCGUAACUGACGCUGAGGA
rnacentral:rRNA from 1 species